rfam:Cyberlindnera jadinii strain CBS1600 genome assembly, contig: CJ2
UCAAUUGGAUGAUUAUACAAUUUUAUUGGGAAUCUCUCUGAGGAAGUAUAUGCAGGACAUAAUAAAAUUUUAGGAAUUCUUCGUUUAUGACUUUUGU